GAGUUGCAUAUUGCGUAAUCUCAUAGUUACGUCUGCUAGUGCAGAAUUUGGUAUAGAUUUUGUAAACAAUGAGUUUUUUUAAGUUUGGUUUCCGUUUUUUUCAAAGAAGUAAUGUUGUUAAGCGGCAUACUUUAUGUAACAAGCGACUUUUAUCCCAUUAUCCAGUUGAUGACAACAUAAGCGGUCUAAAUGAAGAGCAAAAGCAGUUACGAGAAACAGUAUUCCAGUUUGCUCAAAAAGAACUUGCUCCAUUUGCCCAGGAUAUUGAUAAAAAGAAUGAAUUCCCUCAGAUGAAGGAGUUUUUUAAGAAACUUGGUGACAUGGGACUUAUGGGUUUGACUGUACCAGCUAAAGAUGGAGGUGCAGAAGUUGGAUACCUGGAACACUGUGUGGUGAUGGAAGAAUUAUCACGUGCAUCUGCAGCUAUAGCUCUGAGUUAUGGUGCUCAUUCGAAUUUGUGUGUUAAUCAAAUUGCAAGAAAUGGAAAUGAGAAACAGAAAGCAAAGUAUUUGCCUAAACUCAUAAGUGGAGAACAUAUUGGUGCACUAGCAAUGAGUGAAGUUGGAUCUGGAUCUGAUGUUGUAUCUAUGAAAACAAAAGCUGAAAAAACAGGUGAUUAUUAUGUUUUGAAUGGCUCAAAAUUCUGGAUAACAAAUUCAGUUGUUGCUGAUGUUAUUUUAGUGUAUGCUAAAACAAACACAGCAUCUGAUAAACCCCAACACGGAAUCAGUACUUUUAUUGUAGAAAAGGGUAUGCCAGGUUUUAAAGUUGGUAAAGCACUUGAUAAACUUGGCAUGCGGGGAUCACCAACUGCUGAAUUAAUCUUUGAAGACUGCAAAGUGCCAGCUGAAAACUUAGUUUCUGCUGAAAACAAAGGAGUUUAUGUUUUAAUGAGUGGAUUAGAUUAUGAAAGAUUAGUUCUAGCUGCAGGACCUGUUGGAAUAAUGCAAGCAUGUUGUGAUGUAACGUUUGAUUAUGUGCACCAGCGAAAACAGUUUGGGCAAAGAAUUGGUGAAUUUCAGUUGAUACAAGGAAAGCUGGCUGAUAUGUAUACUACUUUAAAUGCAUGUAGAUCAUAUUUGUAUAAUACUGCAAAAGCAACUGACAAAGGACAUGCAAGUUCCAAGGACUGUGCUGGUGUGAUCUUGUAUUGUGCUGAAAAGGCAACUCAGAUGGCUUUAGAUGCUAUACAGUGCUUAGGAGGAAAUGGAUAUAUUAAUGAUUAUCCUACUGGCCGCUUAUUAAGAGAUGCUAAAUUAUAUGAAAUUGGUGCUGGAACAAGUGAAAUCAGACGACUGGUUAUUGGUAGAUCUUUGAAUAAAGAAUAUCAAUAGUAUUUUGUACCAUGGUUGUAAAUAUUGGAAGUGAAAGAAACGAUCUGUGGAAGCUCAAUAAAAUGUGCCAUUAAGGAAAAGGGCUUUCAAGCAAAGAUGCUCCAUAUAUUUGUGCAGAACCUGGCUACUUUAUAUAGAAUUUCUAUAGCUAUUUUUGUAUUAAACUGUUUGUAAUUAAACUGUCAAAAUUUUUAUGCUGAA